rnacentral:misc_RNA from 1 species
UCCCUGUUGCCAGGGCAGUCUAGCUAGAAAAAUACAACUAACUAAAAGGGUUGCGCUCGUUGAUGGACUUAACCAAACAUCUCACGACACGAGCUGACGACGGCCAUGCAACACCUGUCACUUGGUUCAAUAAAGCACUUUCUCCUUUCGGAGAAAUUCCAAGGAUGUCAAGCCUGGGUAAGGUUCUUCGCUUACCAUCGAAUUAAACAACACGCUCCACCGCUUGUGCGGGUCCCCGUCAAUUCCUUUAUGUUUUAGUCUUGCGACCGUACUCCACAGGCGGGAUGCUUAACGCGUUAGCUUCGCUACUAGAGGGGUCGAUACCUCUAACAGCUAGCAUCCAUAGUUUACGGCGUGGACUAC